GAUGAACGCUGGCGGCGUGCCUAAUACAUGCAAGUCGAGCGAACGGACGAGAAGCUUGCUUCUCUGAUGUUAGCGGCGGACGGGUGAGUAACACGUGGAUAACCUACCUAUAAGACUGGGAUAACGUCGGGAAACCGGAGCUAAUACCGGAUAAUAUUUUGAACCGCAUGGUUCAAAAGUGAAAGACGGUCUUGCUGUCACUUAUAGAUGGAUCCGCGCUGCAUUAGCUAGUUGGUAAGGUAACGGCUUACCAAGGCAACGAUGCAUAGCCGACCUGAGAGGGUGAUCGGCCACACUGGAACUUAGACACGGUCCAGACUCCUACGGGAGGCAGCAGUAGGGAAUCUUCCGCAAUGGGCGAAAGCCUGACGGAGCAACGCCGCGUGAGUGAUGAAGGUCUUCGGAUCGUAAAACUCUGUUAUUAGGGAAGAACAUAUGUGUAAGUAACUGUGCACAUCUUGACGGUACCUAAUCAGAAAGCCACGGCUAACUACGUG
rnacentral:rRNA from 1 species